rnacentral:rRNA from 1 species
GAUGAACGCUGGCGGCGUGCCUAAUACAUGCAAGUCGAGCGAACAGACGAGGAGCUUGCUCCUUCGACGUUAGCGGCGGACGGGUGAGUAACACGUAGGUAACCUACCUAUAAGACUGGGAUAACUUCGGGAAACCGGAGCUAAUACCGGAUAAUAUUUCGAACCGCAUGGUUCGAUAGUGAAAGAUGGCUUUGCUAUCACUUAUAGAUGGACCUGCGCCGUAUUAGCUAGUUGGUAAGGUAACGGCUUACCAAGGCAACGAUACGUAGCCGACCUGAGAGGGUGAUCGGCCACACUGGAACUGAGACACGGUCCAGGCUCCUACGGGAGGCAGCAGUAGGGAAUCUUCCGCAAUGGGCGAAAGCCUGACGGAGCAACGCCGCGUGAGUGAUGAAGGUCUUCGGAUCGUAAAACUCUGUUAUUAGGGGAGAACAAACAUGUAAGUAACUGUGCACGUCUUGACGGUACCUAAUCAGAAAGCCACGGCUAACUACGUG